CCUACGGGAGGCAGCAGUGAGGAAUAUUGGUCAAUGGACGCAAGUCUGAACCAGCCAUGCCGCGUGCAGGAAGACGGCUCUAUGAGUUGUAAACUGCUUUUGUACGAGGGCAAACGCAGAUACGUGUCCCCGUCUGAAAGUACCUUACGAAUAAGCAUCGGCUAACUCCGUGCCAGCAGCCGCGGUAAUACGGAGGAUUCAAGCGUUAUCCGGAUUUAUUGGGUUUAAAGGGUGCGUAGGCGGUCGGGUAAGUUGGGUGUGAAAUCCCGGGGCUCAACCUCGGAAUUGCAUAUGAUACUGUUCGGCUAGAGAGUAGGUGCGGGAGGCGGAAUGUAUGGUGUAGCAGUGAAAUGCUUAGAGAGC
rnacentral:rRNA from 1 species